UUUAAAAUAAGGGAUUUCUCAAACAUGCAUGGAAGAAUCAAGCAACACUCCAGGAGUGUUUCUGAUGAGCGAAUAACAUCAUAACAAGAUGUAAAACUAAAAUAAUCCAUUUUACAUCAUACUGCCCCAACAAUAGUACAGAAAGAGUGUUGA